GACGAACGCUGGCGGCGUGCUUAACACAUGCAAGUCGAACGGAAAGGCCCUGCUUUUGUGGGGUGCUCGAGUGGCGAACGGGUGAGUAACACGUGAGUAACCUGCCCUUGACUUUGGGAUAACUUCAGGAAACUGGGGCUAAUACCGGAUAGGAGCUCCUGCUGCAUGGUGGGGGUUGGAAAGUUUCGGCGGUUGGGGAUGGACUCGCGGCUUAUCAGCUUGUUGGUGGGGUAGUGGCUUACCAAGGCGUUGACGGGUAGCCGGCCUGAGAGGGUGACCGGGCACAAUGGGACUGAGAUACGGCCCAGACUCCUACGGGAGGCAGCAGUGGGGAAUAUUGCACAAUGGGCGGAAGCCUGAUGCAGCAACGCCGCGUGCGGGAUGACGGCCUUCGUGUUGUAAACCGCUUUCGCCUGUGACGAAGCGUGAGUGACGGUAAUGGGUAAAGAAGCACCGGCUAACUACGUG
rnacentral:rRNA from 1 species